rnacentral:tRNA from 1 species
GGGGAUUUAGCUCAGCGGCAUAAGUACCUGCCUUGCAAGCAGGCGGUCCUGAGUUCGAUCCCCGAAUACCGA